GUUGGUUGUUGUUGAUUCCUGCUAAGCGUGAAUGAUGGACGGCACAGUAGUAGUGCAAGGUGUGGGAAUUGCGUUGGCUGCGUUGCUAACCGCCAUAGCAGAAGCAAUGAAGAAUAAUCCGUCCAUUUUCAAGAAGAAGAAAGCCUUCGACUUGGCCAACCUGGAAUCCACCCUAAAGUCGAUAGAACCUAACAUCAGAAAGAUGGAACGUCUCAACAACGAGAUGGGACGCCCAAAGGAGGAGCUAGAACCACUCAUAAAGAAAUUUGAAGAGGGAAUUAAGCUUUUGAAGCAGUGCUCCAAUGUCCGCUGGAACUCCAAGGCUGCUUACAUGGCUCAACUGCAGGCAUUUGAUGACUCCUUCGGUAAGCUUCUCCACACCAUCGUGGAAGUUCAGACUGCAACAGAUCAAAAGGAGAUGCUCCAAUUGCAGCAUCAAAAAGGUUCUUAUAUAUACUUCUUAAUCAAUUACUGUGUGCUGUUGUUUCCAUCAUUCUUAUUAUUUUUACUCUCUCGAACAUGUAUUUUUAAUAAACUUUUUUCAUUUUUGAUGUAGGUUUCCGAAGGUGGCUCGUGUGUUUUCGCAGCAAAUGAGGGACUUGGAAAAGGGAGAUACACCUUGAAAAGUUGUUGAUACUAAAUUCACUACGUAGAUUUUGUAUAUAAAUUGUUUGCAUAUUCUGUGUAUAGAAUUCGAGGUUAAUUAAUGUAGAAAAAUAAAUUUCUAACAUAAUAAACUAUUUAUUAAUAUUUAAUAUUUAGUAUCAUUUUUGAAAUAUAUAUCUUAAAUAGAUACAAAUCUUAAUAUUAAAUUAAUGUUAAAAUUUAUUUCUAAAAUCUAAGAUUGGAGAUAUCUGAUUUUCAAUGUUUUAUUUUGCUAUGCGUUGCACUCUACCGUUGAUAAUAAAUUCUUGGUUUUACAUAUUCUUAUCUAUUUUUGUGAUAUUUAUAUAAACGAAAUAUCGUUCUCCACAUAUCUUGGUCGUGGUUGAGCAAGAAAGUUAUCCUUGGCAGGUUGACUUGACUAUAACAAUAAGAGAGAGAAAGAGAUGGCAUUACCUUCAUUCCAAUGUCUAGAAACACUUGAAAACUGGGUAGUGAAAUGUUUGAUUAUUGUUGAGAGAAGACUGAGCUUGGUUAGUAAAUUUGGCACUACCAGUUCUUGAACCUUCUACUUCCAAGAUCUUACUUACUGUAACCACCAGCCCUUCCAAGAUUUACCGAUUACAUUAUAAAACAAUAUGGCAAGAUGGCUUUAGGGUUUUUAUUUUCAAUUUGAUUUAGAGAUUCUAAUAGAGGUGCCAAUUUCAUCCAUAGUCCACCAUACGAGUCUUAAAUCAUUCUUAAAAAUUCAUAUUUUAGAAAUUUCCUUUAAUGAGA
rnacentral:lncRNA from 1 species